AACCCCACCAUCCACAGACACGGUGAGCCUGAGAGGCCUGUGAGUGUGGUGGAGGCCUCAGGCCCUCUUCUCUGCUGACCAUGUGGCCUCCACAAGGGUUUCUUCCCUCAGGUUUUGGUUCAUGCUCAGUCUUUCACACGUACAGGUUUGAUGAGCUUCAGCUAUCUGGCAAGUGUGCACACCUACUUUGUGAAUAAAAACAACACGGGACAUUAAGCUAUGGCCUAGAUCCCGUCCUUCCCAGAGAUCAAGAGGGACACCCAAAAAAGCCAAGCCACAAAGGAUUAAUUCAAGGGCUCAAAAUGCAACACAAUUAAAAGAAUUUUGCCCACAGGAGUCUGGAUUUGUGCAGCCCCAGCGCAGACGGCUGGAGCCUCACUCAGACCUGGGGCUACAGUGCCACCACUGCAAGGACAGGCAGGCCACAGAAGCCGCGCAGGACGGGCAUUUUAGUUUUUUUUUUUUUGAGACAGAGUUUCGCUCUUGUUGCUCAGGCUGGAGUGCAAUGGCGCAAUCUCGGCUCACCACAACCUCCGCCUCCGCCUCCCGGGUUCAAGCGAUUCUCCUGCCUCAGCCUCCGGAGUAGCUGGCAUUACAGGCAUGCGCCACUACGCCCGGCUAAUUUUGUAUUUUCAGUAGAGACGGGGUCAGGGUUUCCCCAUGUUUGUCAGGCUG
rnacentral:lncRNA from 10 species